AUGCUAACUAAAAAAACAAAAGAAAUGGAAGAAAAAAAAUGAAAAUAAAAAACUGAAACAGUAGAAGGAUAAAGAGGACAAAAGUAUAGCCCCGCGUGUUGAAUUCAUCGCGGUGGCUACUACUUUCAUUCAUUCAUUCAUAACGUAUUCUUCUUCUUCUUCUUCUUCUUCAGAUUCAUACUCUUUUCUUCUUCUUCUUCUUGCUAUCAUCAUCAUCAUCAUCUUCAGAUUCAGAAUAUUCUUUCAUGGAUCGCAUCAUCGGUGACAAGUUCAAAUUAGGUCGUAAGAUCGGAAGUGGAUCCUUCGGUGAAAUCUACCUCGCUACUCAUAUUGAUACUUUCGAGAUCGUUGCUGUUAAGAUCGAGACUGGUAAAACGAAGCAUCCACAAUUGCUUUAUGAAGCUAAGCUCUAUAAUAUUCUACAAGGAGGAAGUGGCAUCCCAAGCAUAAGAUGGAGUGGUGUAGAUGGGGAAGACAAUGUGCUUGUUAUGGAUUUGUUGGGGCCUAGUCUUGAGGAUCUUUUUGUAUACUGUGGAAGAAAGUUCUCACUCAAAACUGUCUUGAUGUUGGCUGAUCAAAUGAUGACCAGAAUAGAGUAUGUGCAUUCUAAAGGAUUCCUACAUAGGGAUAUAAAACCGGAUAACUUUCUCAUGGGACUUGGUCGGAAGGCAAACCUGGUCUAUGUAAUUGAUUUUGGGCUUGCAAAACGUUAUCGGGACUCCACAACCAAUCGCCACAUCCCCUACAGGGAGAACAAAAACUUAACAGGGACUGCACGAUAUGCAAGCUGCAAUACUCAUCUUGGGAUUGAGCAAAGCCGGCGGGAUGAUUUGGAGUCGUUGGGGUAUGUGCUUUUGUACUUCCUCAGAGGAAGCCUUCCUUGGCAAAACCUAAAGGCUGCGACGAAGAAGCAAAAAUAUGAUAAAAUAUGUGAAAAGAAAGUAUCAACUCCUAUUGAGGUUUUAUGCAAAUCUCACCCUGUAGAGUUUGCUUCAUACUUUCAUUACUGUCAUUCUUUGACCUUUGAUCAGCGACCUGAUUAUGGAUUCUUGAGGCGCUUAUUUCGAGAGUUAUUUGCUCGAGAAGGUUACAAAUUUGAUUAUGUAUUUGAUUGGACAAUUUUGAAGUACCAACAGUCACAAAAGAGUAGAGCCCAGCCUCACAUAUCCCCGAUUCCUGUAGCGACCAACAAUCGGGCAAUGGCCAUGGAUAUUGAUAACCAACAAGGGGAUGUCUCAGCAGAGCAAAUUAAAUCAGACAAUGCCACUACUUCUGGUGUUAAGUUUCAAUUUAAAUCAUCUGCGGGUAAAAAUUUGGCUUCUGAAAAUCCUCUUGGCAAGAAUAUUUUUGGUGAAACAACUAUCCCUUCUACCUCAUACUCUUUCGAAGCAUCAAGAAGGAACUCCUUGAAGCCUGCCCCGUCCACUGAAGCAGUGAACCAUAGACAUGGCCAAGGGAGCAGUAAAAUUGGUCCUUCAAGUAGUCGGAUGAAUGUUCUGCACAUAAGUUCUGCUAAAUGAAUGCCAAUAUGGUGUGAAUCUGAUCAAGAAGAUUCCCUGCAUACAAACAUGGAGCUGCAUAUUUAUGGGGUAUUGCUUGCAAGUGAACAGCCCAUGGAGACUACAAAUGUGCUACAAGAAUGUAUAACUAUGUCGAAUCAGAGGCAAAAGUUUCGGCAGAAUGGCUGCCGAAAUAAUGGUUUCUUCAGACAUCAAAGGUAGCUCGAAUUUGGCUGUCAGCCAGAUUAAUUUGUAUUGUCAUUUUUGGGAUGAAUUCAAUCUGGUUUUAUUUCAUUGCAGUCAAGGGUCCCUUUGUUUUACCUAUAUAUAUUGGCCAGAGGAUGGAAAUAUGCAGACAAUUGGCAUUUAUAUGGAUGCCAUCAACAGUUACUCUUUUUGCAGGAUUUCUUUUUUAUACCAUUAUUGGCUAAAGGAUGAAAUAUGCAGAAUAAAUGGCAUUUAUACGGAUGCCAUCAGCGGAAUCAUACCUCUGCAUACAGUUGAUUGUCAUGGCGAUGUGGGGACUGAAAGUGAAAAUUGCUUUUGAUACUAAUGCUGUUUAAUAUCUUUUGAUGAUAUAUAUCAUUGAUUACUAUGAUUUAAACCAACA